UGUUUUUCUUUUAUGAUAAAUGAAUAUUGUGUUGGGUUAUUUAAUAUCUUUGUGACUGAAUCCGAGGAAAAAGAGGACAAGAAAGUGAAUCCAGAGGAAAAUACACACAUUCAUGUGAAAAUGAAAAACGUUUUUCCGAUGGACUAUUAACCUUGGAUGUGGAUUUGGAUUGUCAAGAAAAUAAAUAAUGUAGCUUGUUCAACAAUUUAUCAAAGAAAAUGACUUGCAAACUCCCUCUAAAGAUGGAGUACCUGGAGAAGACUGGUUUUUCGAUUAAAAGAAUCGAUUUUAUAUUAAGAAAGAAUUGUUUUUAAAUUAUUAAAAUCUUUGUUUUAAAAAUCUAAAUAAUUAUUUUUCCUAAAGACAAA